GUACACUCCUGCGGGAGGCAGCAGUGGGGAAUUUUGAACAAUGGGCGAAAGCCUGAUCCAGCAAUGCCGCGUGAGUGAAGAAGGCCUUCGGGUUGUAAAGCUCUUUUGUCAGGGAAGAAACGGUGAGAGCUAAUAUCUUUUGCUAAUGACGGUACCUGAAGAAUAAGCACCGGCUAACUACGUGCCAGCAGCCGCGGUAAUACGUAGGGUGCAAGCGUUAAUCGGAAUUACUGGGCGUAAAGCGUGCGCAGGCGGUUUUGUAAGUCUGAUGUGAAAUCCCCGGGCUCAACCUGGGAAUUGCAUUGGAGACUGCAAGGCUAGAAUCUGGCAGAGGGGGGUAGAAUUCCACGUGUAGCAGUGAAAUGCGUAGAUAUGUGGAGGAACACCGAUGGCGAAGGCAGCCCCCUGGGUCAAGAUUGACGCUCAUGCACGAAAGCGUGGGGAGCAAACAGGAUUAGAAACCCCUGUAGUCCCA
rnacentral:rRNA from 1 species